GAAAAAAGAUAAUGAAGGGGCUUGCUAACUGCAAGUCGAGCGAACAGAAGGGAGCUUGCUCCCGGAUGUUAGCGGCGGACGGGUGAGUAACACGUGGGUAACCUGCCUGUAAGACUGGGAUAACUCCGGGAAACCGGAGCUAAUACCGGAUAGUUCCUUGAACCGCAUGGUUCAAGGAUGAAAGACGGUUUCGGCUGUCACUUACAGAUGGACCCGCGGCGCAUUAGCUAGUUGGUGGGGUAAUGGCUCACCAAGGCGACGAUGCGUAGCCGACCUGAGAGGGUGAUCGGCCACACUGGGACUGAGACACGGCCCAGACUCCUACGGGAGGCAGCAGUAGGGAAUCUUCCGCAAUGGACGAAAGUCUGACGGAGCAACGCCGCGUGAGUGAUGAAGGUUUUCGGAUCGUAAAGCUCUGUUGUUAGGGAAGAACAAGUGCGAGAGUAACUGCUCGCACCUUGACGGUACCUAACCAGAAAGCCACGGCUAACUACGUGCCAGCAGCCGCGGUAAUACGUAGGUGGCAAGCGUUGUCCGGAAUUAUUGGGCGUAAAGGGCUCGCAGGCGGUUUCUUAAGUCUGAUGUGAAAGCCCCCGGCUCAACCGGGGAGGGUCAUUGGAAACUGGGAAACUUGAGUGCAGAAGAGGAGAGUGGAAUUCCACGUGUAGCGGUGAAAUGCGUAGAGAUGUGGAGGAACACCAGUGGCGAAGGCGACUCUCUGGUCUGUAACUGACGCUGAGGAGCGAAAGCGUGGGGAGCGAACAGGAUUAGAUACCCUGGUAGUCCACGCCGUAAACGAUGAGUGCUAAGUGUUAGGGGGUUUUCCGCCCCUUAGUGCUGCAGCUAACGCAUUAAGCACUCCGCCUGGGGAGUACGGUCGCAAGACUGAAACUCAAAGGAAUUGACGGGGGCCCGCACAAGCGGUGGAGCAUGUGGUUUAAUUCGAAGCAACGCGAAGAACCUUUACCAAGUCUUGACAUCCUCUGACACCCUAGAGAUAGGGCUUUUCCCUUUCGGGGAACAGAGUGACAGGUGAUGCAUGGUGUCGUCAGCUCGUUGUCGUGAAGAUGUUGGGUUAGUCCCGCAACGAGCGCAACCUUUGAUCUUAGCUGCCAGCAUUUAGUUGGGGCACUCUAUGGGUGACCUGCCGCGUGACAAUCGGGAGUAUGGUGGGAUGACGUCAAUCAUUCAUGCCCCUUAUGAACCUUGAG
rnacentral:rRNA from 1 species